rnacentral:rRNA from 1 species
UAGGGAAUCUUCCACAAUGGACGCAAGUCUGAUGGAGCAACGCCGCGUGAGUGAAGAAGGUCUUCGGAUCGUAAAGCUCUGUUGUUGGUGAAGAAGGAUAGAGGCAGUAACUGGUCUUUAUUUGACGGUAAUCAACCAGAAAGUCACGGCUAACUACGUGCCAGCAGCCGCGGUAAUACGUAGGUGGCAAGCGUUGUCCGGAUUUAUUGGGCGUAAAGCGAGCGCAGGCGGAAUGAUAAGUCUGAUGUGAAAGCCCACGGCUCAACCGUGGAACUGCAUCGGAAACUGUCAUUCUUGAGUGCAGAAGAGGAGAGUGGAACUCCAUGUGUAGCGGUGGAAUGCG